rnacentral:tRNA from 1 species
CGCAUCAUGGCCGGCGGGGGGUGGGUCGCGACCUUCGAGGACGUGACGGAGCGUCGGCGCAACGAAGCGCGGAUCAUCCACAUGGCGCGCC